rnacentral:rRNA from 1 species
ACGGGUGAGUAACACGUGGGUGAUCUGCCCUGCACUUUGGGAUAAGCCUGGGAAACUGGGUCUAAUACCGAAUAUGACCAUGCGCCUCCUGGUGUGUGGUGGAAAGCUUUUGCGGUGUGGGAUGGGCCCGCGGCCUAUCAGCUUGUUGGUGGGGUAAUGGCCUACCAAGGCGACGACGGGUAGCCGGCCUGAGAGGGUGACCGGCCACACUGGGACUGAGAUACGGCCCAAACUCCUACGGGAGGCAGCAGUGGGGAAUAUUGCACAAUGGGCGCAAGCCUGAUGCAGCGACGCCGCGUGAGGGAUGACGGCCUUCGGGUUGUAAACCUCUUUCAGCACAAACGAAGCGCAAGUGACGGUAUGUGCAGAAGAAGGACCGGCCAACUACGUGCCAGCAGCCGCGGUAAUACGUAGGGUCCGAGCGUUGUCCGGAAUUACUGGGCGUAAAGAGCUCGUAGGUGGUUUGUCGCGUUGUUCGUGAAAACUCACAACUCAAUUGUGGGCGUGCGGGCGAUACGGGCAGACUUGAGUACUGCAGGGGAGACUGGAAUUCCUGGUGUAGCGGUGGAAUGCGCAGA